GUAGUCAUAUGCUUGUCUCAAAGAUUAAGCCAUGCAUGUCUAAGUAUAAGCAACUAUACGGUGAAACUGCGAAUGGCUCAUUAAAUCAGUUAUCGUUUAUUUGAUAGUACCUUACUACAUGGAUAACCGUGGUAAUUCUAGAGCUAAUACAUGCUAAAAACCCCGACUUCGGAAGGGGUGUAUUUAUUAGAUAAAAAACCAAUGCCCUUCGGGGCUCCUUGGUGAUUCAUAAUAACUUAACGAAUCGCAUGGCCUUGCGCCGGCGAUGGUUCAUUCAAAUUUCUGCCCUAUCAACUUUCGAUGGUAGGAUAGUGGCCUACCAUGGUAUCAACGGGUAACGGGGAAUUAGGGUCCUAUUCCGGAGAGGGAGCCUGAGAAACGGCUACCACAUCCAAGGAAGGCAGCAGGCGCGCAAAUUACCCAAUCCCGACACGGGGAGGUAGUGACAAUAAAUACUGAUACAGGGCUCUUUUGGGUCUUGUAAUUGGAAUGAGUACAAUCUAAAUCCCUUAACGAGGAACAAUUGGAGGGCAAGUCUGGUGCCAGCAGCCGCGGUAAUUCCAGCUCCAAUAGCGUAUAUUAAAGUUGUUGCAGUUAAAAAGCUCGUAGUUGAACCUUGGGCCUGGCUGGCCGGUCCGCCUCACCGCGUGUACUGGUCCGGCCGGGCCUUUCCUUCUGGGGAGCCGCAUGCCCUUCGCUGGGCGUGUUGGGGAACCAGGACUUUUACUUUGAAAAAAUUAGAGUGUUCAAAGCAGGCCUUUGCUCGAAUACAUUAGCAUGGAAUAAUAGAAUAGGACGUGUGGUUCUAUUUUGUUGGUUUCUAGGACCGCCGUAAUGAUUAAUAGGGAUAGU
rnacentral:rRNA from 1 species